UACGUAGGGGGCAAGCGUUGUCCGGAAUCAUUGGGCGUAAAGCGCGCGUAGGCGGCCUUGUAAGUCCGUUGUGAAAGUCAAAGGCUCAACCUUUGAAAGCCGAUGGAUACUGCAAGGCUAGAGUCCGGAAGAGGCGAGUGGAAUUCCUGGUGUAGCGGUGGAAUGCGCAGAUAUCAGGAGGAACACAAAUGGCGAAGGCAGCUCGCUGGAACGGUACUGACGCUGAGGCGCGAAAGCGUGGGGAGCGAACAGG
rnacentral:rRNA from 1 species